rnacentral:rRNA from 1 species
AUUGAACGCUGGCGGAAUGCUUUACACAUGCAAGUCGAGCGGCAGCGCGGGGGCGAACCCUGGCGGCGAGCGGCGAACGGGUGAGUAAUACAUCGGAACGUGUCCUUGAGUGGGGGAGUAGCUCGGCGAAAGCCGGAUUAAUACCGCAUAAGCUCUGCGGAGGAAAGCGGGGGACGUGGUAACGGCCUCGCGCUGUUGGAGCGGCCGAUGUCGGAUUAGCUAGUUGGUGGGGUAAAGG